rnacentral:lncRNA from 1 species
CUUAAUUAUUUGAUGUGUACAUUACACAAUGAACUUGCCAGUUGAGGUUGUGAAAGCCCCAUGCAUUCACUCAUUUAUGCAUUUUUCCCUCUUUUGAAAACUGCUUUGCAGAUUAUUGGCUUGUAAUCAUAAAUUUGAUAUCUGUAACCUCUUCUAGAGUAUUUAAACCUGGAAGUUCACUUUUGAAGGGUUAUGGUUUGAUUUUUUUGUGGAGGUUAUUUGUUUGGUGAAAUCAUUUGUCUUGAGUUUCUUCAAACUAAUGUUCCAUAGUUAUAUGCAAUAUAGAUAAUUAUUGUAUUUGAUAUAGAGAUUUUAAAGCAUAUACAACUCAAAAUAAUGAGUGUGGUUAGUAUAUGUAUAUUUUAUUAUCAUCAUCAAAUAAAAGCAUUGAAAUAAGAAUAUAUUUGUCUUUGCAAUAUUAGAUUAAGAUUCUAAUUGUUUUAUUAAUAAUUGGUAGUAUGACUUAAAUGCUUUUAAAAUAUAGACAUACAAAUGCUUUUAAAAUUUAAUUCAUAAUG